UGGUGGGUGUUGGGAUGAGGACGAGGAGGGGGAGGAGGAGCACCCGCAGGACGGUGGAGGAGACACAGCAGGAUGACGACAUCCAGUAGCGGUGGAGCAGUAGGCCGAUGUCGAUGCGGCGCAGUAGGACGACAAUGAUGCUCAACAGGAAGGCUCAGGUUCUGACGCCUUAGGUUCGAGGAACAUCUAACUGCGAGGUCCCGCGAGUUUCCCUCAGCAUCCCAUACAUAGUGAUAGGCGGCCACUGAUUCCACCCGAUGGGAAGAGGCACAUAACUUUAGAUAUUCUUGCUGUUUGCUCAUAUUAUGUGUUCAAAUUCAUAAUAUAAACUAAUACUUUUUACUUAUCACUUGGGCAGGUCUUGGAAGGUUGUGGAGAAUGCAAGGGGUCACGGUCGCAACUCCAAUGGCAUCCUCGGCCUUCUGUGCAGGGAACACUUCCCUGGACUGGUUGAGUACGUUGGAGUAACGGGCCUAGCCUACACCUUCAACCACUAUGUCGUCGCUUCCAAUGCAGUACACCAAGACGAUAGGGAAUUCAACAAGAAGGCGGAGCGGGUGAAGCAAGAGAUGUGGGAUUUCUUCAGAUGCGAGGCUAGAUACGAGGCUAGGGCAGAUGUGGUGGCUACCACGAGCUGUAAGAUGCUCAUCGUGGAUAUGCACUACAAGGCGCAAAUCUAGGCCAUCGUCAGCUACCAUGGCUCCGUCCUUGGGGAAAAGGUGACCAAGCAGCACGCAUGAACCAUUUCAUUGACUGGGGACCAAUACUUGCAGAUGAUUCCUUAUUGGUGCACCACACAUCCUCAGUGCCGAGAGCAGAUGGUGGAUAAGUGGUGCUCGCCUGAGUGGGACAAGGCGCACAACGCUAGCCGGGAACGACGUCUGAUGA